rnacentral:rRNA from 1 species
AUUGAACGCUGGCGGCAGGCCUAACACAUGCACGUCGAGCGAGCGGCGGACGGGUGAGUAAUGUAUGGGGACUGCCCGAUAGAGGGGGAUAACUACUGGAAACGGUGGCUAAUACCGCAUACUGUCGGAUAACCCAUAUGGGAUUAGCUAGUAGGUAAGGUAAUGGCCUACCUAGGCGACGAUCCCUAGCUGGUUUGAGAGGAAGAACAGCCAAAGUGGAAUUGAGACAAGGCCCAGACUCCUACGGGGGCAGCAGUGGGGAAUAUGGCACAAGGGGCGAAAGCCGGAUGCAGCCAUGCCGCGUGUUUGAAGAGGGCCCUAGGGUUGUAAAGUACGUUCAGUGGGGAGGCGUUACCGACAGAAGAAGCACCGGCUAACUCCGUGCCAGCAGCCGCGGUAAUUC